GAGUAUAAUAAAUCUCACCCUAGAGAUCCUCUUCCGGCUUACUGGAGAGGACUACACAGUAGUGAAGAAGACCUCUAGUGAGCGCUGUCAGGCCCCUGUGUCUGAAGGAAGGGGAAGAACCCUGAGCCCAAUCAUGGAGCCUCCACCUCACCCUCUGAUACAUGAUGAAAUCAAUAGAGAGAAGAUCCUAGAACUCACCAACAAGAUGACUGAGCUGCUGACUGGAGAGGUUCCUAUAAGGUGUCAGGAUGUCACCGUCUAUUUCUCCAUGGAGGAGUGGGAGUAUU